UACGUAGGGUGCAAGCGUUAAUCGGAAUUACUGGGCGUAAAGCGUGCGCAGGCGGUUUUGUAAGUCUGUCGUGAAAUCCCCGGGCUCAACCUGGGAAUUGCGAUGGAGACUGCAAGGCUAGAAUCUGGCAGAGGGGGGUAGAAUUCCACGUGUAGCAGUGCAAUGCGUAGAGAUGUGGAGGAACACCGAUGGCGAAGGCAGCCCCCUGGGUCAAGAUUGACGCUCAUGCACGAAAGCGUGGGGAGCAAACAGG
rnacentral:rRNA from 1 species